rnacentral:rRNA from 1 species
UGGGAUACCACCCUUGUAGUACUGGGACUCUAACCAUAGGCCAUGAAUCUGGUCUUGGGACACUGUCAGGUGGGCAGUUUGACUGGGGCGGUCGCCUCCCAAAAGGUAACGGAGGCGCUCAAAGGUUCUCUCAGUACGGUCGGAAAUCGUACGUAGAGUGUAAAGGCAAAAGAGAGCUUGAUUGCAAGACAUACAGGUCGAGCAAGGAUGAAAAUCGGACUUAGUGAUCCGGUGGUUCUGCGUGGAAGGGCCAUCGCUCAACGGAUAAAAGCUACCCUGGGGAUAACAGGCUUAUCUCCCCCAAGAGUCCACAUCGACGGGGAGGUUUGGCACCUCGAUGUCGGCUCAUCACAUCCUGGGGCUGUAGUAGGUCCCAAGGGUUGGGCUGUUCGCCCAUUAAAGUGGUACGCGAGCUGGGUUCAGAACGUCGUGAGACAGUUCGGUCCCUAUCCGUCGCAGGCGUAGGAAAUUUGAGAAGACCUGUCCUUAGUACGAGAGGACCGGGAUGGACGUACCUCUGGUGUACCAGUUGU